UACGUAGGUGGCAAGCGUUGUCCGGAUUUACUGGGCGUAAAGAGCGCGCAGGCGGCUGGGAAAGUCCGAUGUGAAAGCUUCCGGCUUAACUGGAAAAUUGCAUCGGAAACUGCUCGGCUUGAAGGUGGGAGAGGGUAGCGGAAUUCCCGGUGUAGUGGUGAAAUGCGUAGAUAUCUGGAGGAAUACCGGUGGCGAAGGCGGCAUCCUGGACCGGCAUUGACGCUGAGGAGCGAAAGCUAGGGGAGCAAACGGG
rnacentral:rRNA from 1 species